CACAGAAUAUUGGAACCCAAAGAAUCCAGUCCAGUCUUAUAUUUCUAAGGAGACGCACAGACAAAAAAAGUAACUAGUGCAAGGUUGGACCACUAAGUAGUGGCAGAGUGAGGAUCAGAACCAGGAUCUCUCAAUAUCAGGGCUUUUACUAAAUCAGAAUAAAUGUGCUGCUCUUUCUUUAAAGCAUGAAUUAGCUCUUCAUACUCAGAUCCUUGCUUUUCCUAGAAAUGACAACGGACACGACAUUAAGUGAUACUACAAAGUUAUAAAUCAUGAAAUGCUAUAGUCUCUGAAGAAUUAAACAUGAAAGUUAGUGAAAAGAAGAACAGAGAAGCACCAGAAAUCCAUCAACCAGCAUGAGUGUGAGAAAUGCAUACUAGAGAUGUUCUAAGUCUAACUGCCCUAAAAUUAAAACUGCUCUCUGUCAAAGCACACUAGAUUAAGCCAGGCGGGUGAAAGGUACAACUUUAAUUAGAUUGUUGGUCUUCAGCCAGCAGAUAUGCCUCCUCGGAGUAAAAACAGCCAACUACCGAAGAACACACUUGUCAGACAUCAGAACAAAAAGGCAAGUGGAAGUUUCAGAGGGAGCCAAGGAUGUGUGAUUUCUGGCAGCUCCCCAUUUCCAGCACAAAGAAGCUAUGACACUAAGUGAAGCUAAGAAAUAGAUCCGGAAAUACUGAAUGAAAAGGCUCCUGAACUUGCUUUACAGUGAUUUGGAUCCCUCUGCUGGUAUAAAAUUACAUAACAAUGCUUUAAAAAAAUUUUUUUAAUAGAUUUUUUUAAUAGA